GAUCGCAUAGCGCAGUGGAUUAGCCCAUUUGACUUCAGAUCAGAAGGUCGUGGGUUUGACUCCCACUGUGGUCA